CACCUUUCCACAUUGAUAAAUCUUAAAGCCCCCUUAUUAUCUGAAACAAUAAAUGUCUAUUCAACUCUUGCCAUUCCCUAAAACUUAUAGCUACAUAUAUUUCUUUUCCAAAUCUCUGCGCUUCGACUAAUUCUCCACAACAAAAUCAUCAGGGAGUGGAAAUCAGUCGCAACUGUUCCUGCCGAUUUACAAUCUCAGAGGUAGUACCACGAAAUUGGAGACUCAGUUUAAUUUUACGGCUUCAAAUUGCAGUCUGAGGUCCGGUGAACCUUAUUCAAAAACUUCACGGAUGCGGUUGGGAGUCCAUUCUCCGUUUCGGCUGAAGUUUUGACCAAGGACUACGAUCCAGAAUCACUUAUUUGGAGCGAUGAUUGAAAUGCCACUCUGGCUCCAGCUUCGGUUUGGGAUGUAAGAUUGUUACUUUCACAAACUUUUAUGUGCUUUAUAAUGGUUUUCUCAUGUAUGUUAUCAAUCUAAAUAGAAACGUAAGAAGAAAUCUUUGUCUGAAAGGCUUAAUAUCUGAUAAGAAAGAUGCUCGAGAGAGACCCAAAUGAAGUCUUAAUGCUCAACAAGUCUUGCGUAAGUAGGAUUAUGAACUCCAUAGCUUAAGAAGAUAUGUAACUUAAUCUUGGUUUAUUUAGUUUUUUGUCAGGCCUUCCAUCGAUAAGGGACACACCGUCAUGAGUCGCUUGAAGAAGUUUUCAGCUAACCGUCUAUGAUAAACCAAAGUAACACAAACCAAAUUAUCAUAAUUGGAACUGUGUGAACGUUUUUUUUUGGGAUUAGUCUUUGAUAUUGGAGUUUUAAUUAGUGUUUUUGUGAAAACAAGUGUUUGAUUUAAAGUUUAUUUAUUUUUUAUUCUGGAUCGAAUAGGUUUUUCACACAAUAUUUGUCCGGUCUCAUAUUUUCUUAACUAUUGUUUUUAGCUAUUAUAAUGUGCUAUGGUAUUUGUUUUAUAGUUUGCAGGGGGUGACGACACCGUUGGUUGGGUUCUUGGAUGUCUUGGAGAGUUUAACAAAGAAAAAACAUCACCAAUUACUCAUGUUGACAUUAUCACUCUCUGUCAAGGAGUUUUGGUUGGUUAAGUGAAUCGUUCUUCUCUCUUGUGUCAUCAUCACCAGUCUUUUAACAAAUUACCUUUAGAGAUUGUUUUUUUUCCUCUUCAAAAAAUAGUGAUAUAUUGGUUUAAAAGCUAUCCUCAGUUGUGCAACCCACACUUUGGUAAAAUGCAUAACAACUGCAUCUUUGUAAACUCUCUCUAUUGAGCCAGUGAUCGAACAGUCCUUGCUAACAAAGGAACAUAAUGAGGUUUUAGAGUACCCACAAGUUAUCAACGUCAUGAAUGUGCUAUAUAUAUAUUUUAUUUACAAAUA